rnacentral:rRNA from 1 species
UACGUAGGGUGCAAGCGUUGUCCGGAAUUAUUGGGCGUAAAGAGCUCGUAGGCGGUUUGUCGCGUCGGCCGUGAAAUCUCCACGCUUAACGUGGAGCGUGCGGUCGAUACGGGCAGACUUGAGUUCGGUAGGGGAGACUGGAAUUCCUGGUGUAGCGGUGAAAUGCGCAGAUAUCAGGAGGAACACCGGUGGCGAAGGCGGGUCUCUGGGCAGUAACUGACGCUGAGGAGCGAAAGCGUGGGGAGCGAACAGG